rnacentral:ncRNA from 1 species
UUCAUAGGUUACCUCUGUCGUUACCUACAUAAGUAGAUACGGGAACGUAAUUGUUGA